rnacentral:rRNA from 1 species
CCGGGCUUAACCUGGGAAAUGGCAUUUGUGACUGGAAGGCUAGAGUGUGUCAGAGGGGGGGUAGAAUUCCACGUGUAGCAGUGAAAAUGCGUAGAGAUGUGGAGGAAUACCGAUGGCGAAGGCAGCCCCCUGGGAUAACACUGACGCUCAUGCACGAAAGCGUGGGGAGCAAACAGGAUUAGAUACCCUGGUAGUCCACGCCCUAAACGAUGUCUACUAGUUGUCGGGUCUUAAUUGACUUGGUAACGCAGCUAACGCGUGAAGUAGACCGCCUGGGGAGUACGGUCGCAAGAUUAAAACUCAAAGGAAUUGACGGGGACCCGCACAAGCGGUGGAUGAUGUGGAUUAAUUCGAUGCAACGCGAAAAACCUUACCUACCCUUGACAUGGCUGGAAUCCUUGAGAGAUCAGGGAGUGCUUGAAAGAGAACCAGUACACAGGUGCUGCAUGGCUGUCGUCAGCUCGUG